rnacentral:tRNA from 1 species
GUUAACUUAGUGUAAUACUCUUCACGUCGGACUUUCAAACCGAAAAUACUAACCAUUCAGUAGUUAACC